rnacentral:lncRNA from 1 species
CUUAGCUCGUUCAGACAAUCCUCGGCCAAAUCCUCCACGAGUACUCCAUCUCCUUCUUCAUCUUCUGAUAUGAAUUCCUCUGCAAUCCAUAAAUGCUUCAAACGUUCGACGUCAAUAAUUUGGUCUUCUUGGAAUCUUGCAAGGUAGAGAAAACAAUCUCUCAUUUGGGGAGACAAGUCUUUAUAACUCAAGCUGAGUAUUUCUACAAUAUCCACAGAGUCAUCCGUCAAGUUUCUCCAGAUAUGCUUCUUCACCUUUGCCCAAUAGUCAUAGCUAUUGUUGUGCAAUAAAAGGCCGCCCAGUAUCACAAUUGCAAGUGGUAAACCUCGACAUUUACCAACCAUCUCCUUUCCUAAGUUCUCCAACUGGUCGGUUGGUUGUGCUGUCUUGCAGAACAAUUCCCAGCUUUCCUCUUCCCUCAAGAAACGAAGUUGAUAGGCUAAACCUUUGUUAUCUACAGUCUCUGCUACUUUCUUGUUUCUCGUGGUAAUGAUAAUCCUACUACCGUUGUCCUGGUUUGGAAAUGCAGUUUUGAUCUGGCUCCAAGCGUUUAUAUCCCAUAUAUCAUCAAUAAGUACCAAAUAGCAACCUUGAUUCUGGAGUAACUUUGACAGGUACUGCAGCAAGUCAUGCUCAUCCAUGUUUGACAUAUAUUGUUCGUGCUCAGGUCCCUUGAAAGACUUUACUAUCCUCUUAAGGACAUCUUUGAUGGUAUAUUCUCCGGAGACACAAACUUUAGCACGGGUGCCAAAAUCUCUCAACUCGUUAGAGUUGUACAACUUGGUGGCAAGUGAAGUCUUGCCCAAUCCCCCCAUUCCAUGAAUGGAAAUGAUUUUAAGGGCCGGAUCCUCGCUAUUAAGUUCUUUCAUCAACUUUUGAAUAUCGUCCUUGAAACCAACCACAUCCACCUGUUUAUCAAUGGCACUUGUUCUUAUUAAGGUUCUCUCUUUCUGUUUUACAUCUGGACCGGCUAAAAUAUUGUCUAUUCCAUACUCGAGUCGCCUCUCCUUGAUCACACCGAUCUUUUUCUUGAGUGACUCGAUAUUGUUGCCAAUGUCAUAAAGCUGAGCUUCUUUCUUGCAGAUGCAAAUACAGUUGAGAAAUCUAUCCAUAUGACCUUGUUCCAGACUCGCUUGUCCAUCCUGAAAUCUCUUCAGUAUAUCCACGGCUUCAUUGGCAACAUCUCUGACAGUGCUUAUCCAUAGACGGAUUUCAUCUUCUUGCCUUGAUUCUGCACGAUUUACGGAAGCCUGGAGGAAGCCUAACUCUUCUUUGAGCCAGCCUAUAUCAUCUCUAACUCCUAUUCGUAUGUUAACCUGGUGCACAAGAAAAUUACCAAGGUUUUCAAUUGCAAAAGAUAGCACAGCAUCUGCCAUACUUCUCUAAGAAGUCAAAAAGAAAGGAUGGCUGGGAAAUAUUGGCAAAAGAGUUUGGUAGAAGGUCACUGAGGGAGUAAGACUACUUCAAAGUGGAACAUAUUAUUUAUUAUAAUUUAAGUUUAUAUUAAAAUAUUGAUUUGAGCUUGGACGUUCGAUUAGUGUGAACGAAACAUGGAGAUGCACAAUGAGACGAAUAAGUUUUUUAUGAUGCACAUGAGACAAAUAAGUUUUUUUUAAUAGCCAUGCGGAAUCAUAUGAUUCACUAAAUUGUCCUCUGUGCAUUUUAUAAAGAGUUUGGCCUUGAAAUUUGAUGCAACUUUUUCUUAUUUUCUUCUCCCAUGUGGCUGUGUUUGUUUUAUAGCAACUGCAAGUUGAGCUGAGUUAAAUAAAUUUAUACUAAAAUAUAAUUCAGGCCGCUCCUAUGUCUCCCUGGGAACUGUGUAGAUCUACCAAGCCCGCCCCAUAAAGCGAUAAAGAAUGUACUAUUCGAUGUUAUUUGGGGCGGUUCGACCUGGUUUAAAAGAAGUUAGUUACUGCUUAUAGGUAAGAAGUCACGUAUAAUUGAACAAUAAAUUUUCAUUCUUCUGUUUGGAUAAUUUUUUGAUAAUUUAUAACUAAUAGGUAUAGAAAUUAGUAUUAUAAUAAUAAAACUAGCGUAGAAGCAUGUGCAAGGUACGCCUACUGUUGUGUAAUAUGUGUUUGAAUAAAUGGUUAUAGACUAAUGUGUGUUUGAAUAAAAGUUUGCAGGCUGCAACAGGCCUGCCUUCAGAAAAUCCAAGGUGCUGUGCAAUACUCCCUCCGUCCCAUAUUGAGUGAGCUGUUUUGACUUUCACGGAGAUUAAGAAAAAGGUAGUAAGUUUAGUUGAAAAGUGAGUAAAGUUGUGGGACCUAUCAAUAUUUAAUAAUAGAUUUGAGAUAGUGGAGGAAGAUAGUGGGUGUAAUAGUGUUUAUAUUAUUAUAGAAUGGAGAUAGUGGAAGAAAGUAGUGGGUGUAAUAGUGAAAAGUAGUGUUCAAAAAUAGUAAGUAUGAUAGGUUCAUUCUUUUUGGGACGUCCCAAAAAGGAAUAAGGGUCACAUAAAAUGGGACAGAGGGAGUACAAAGCAGAAGCAAAUCUUGAUACUCUUGCCUUUAGAAACAAUGAAGAGGGUUGUAGAACAAAACCAGAAUUUCAAGUUUGUGAGUUAACAGUUAAUUUUUAAUUUUUCCUUUUCCGUGACGAAUUAAUUUGUUAGUUAACUGAGGUUAUUUACUUGAAUAUAUCUUCACUGAACCUGUUGUUACAUUACUUGUGUAUAUAUGCAGAAUUUCUGAUGAUGGGUGACGAUGAUCAUCACAAUGAUUAGCUAAAUUAAUUAAUCAAAUACACAACGCUUAUGAAACCACUGCAGAAUAAUUUUUUUUAUUUUGUGAUGCAUUUAUCUGACUAUAUAUAGGCAAAAUUUUGUGGCACUUGGUAAUAAGGAAAUACUAAAUUAUUACUAUGAUAUAACUAAACACUUUAGGUAUUGUUGAAUUAGACGGCUAAUUUUGAUUAGAGAUAGUCGAAUAUAUAUAUAUUUUUUCAGUCAGAAACGGUCAAAAUACAACUUCGAUAGUCUUAGGGGGUGUUUGAUAACUCUUAAUAGCCUCUUAAUAGCCAUUUUACUUAUUCGGUCAGAGAUUUAAUUUUUUUAACAGAUUAUCAAACGUGCUUAAUGAAACCAAAACACACUUAUUGGAUAAGAGCGUGGACUCUCGCUUAGUGGGUAAGAGAGCCUCUGAAUAGGGUUUUCCAAUGUAUACCCUCAAACUCAACCCUUUAUUUUCACCCAUCCUGCGUUUAUGCUAGCUGCUUUAACAGUGUGUUAUCAGAUACCCGUCACUUUUCUUCACUUUUCUUUAAAAAAAUAAAGAAUUGAUUAAUCUUGAUAUGGGCUAUAAAUAUAUAAAAUUAUAAAAAUUUUGGAUGAUUUUUAUAAUUUUGGAUUAAUUUUUUUAUGAUUUGGAUAAAAAUUUUGGAUGAUUUAUGAUGUGUUUUAGAUAAAAAUUUAAAAAUAUAAUUUUGAAAUUAUAGUUAUGGAUAAAAUUCCAAAAUUAUAAAAAUUAUAAAAAAUUUAACAUCAUAAAUCAUCCAAAAUUAUAAAAAUUUAUCCAAAAUUAUAAUUUUUUAAUAAUUUCGGAUGAUUUACAUUUUUGUAAUUUUUAUAAUUUUGGAUAAGAUUAUACUUUUUUUAUAAUUUUGAAUAAAAUUAUAUUUGUUAUAAUUUUGGAUGAUUUAUGAUGUAUGUUGGAAUUAUAAGGGUAAAAUGAUAAAUAUAUUGGCAUUCAGAUAUUUUAAUAUGAUUGUUAUCAAACAAUAAAUUUCUUUCAGUAAAUUUUUCAUUCAGGCAAAUUCUUCAUUCAGUGUAUUCAGCAAAUUUAAUGACUCAGCAUUUUUUAUUCAGUUUUAUCAAACAACCUCUUAGUCGAAAGUGUAGCGAUUGGGAUGAUCAAAAAGAGUAACUAUCCUUAUUCAAAAAAAAAAGAAAAAAGAGUAACUAUCCGGUUGAACUUUUAUAUUCGAGCAAAUUUGGUCAAAAAUAAUGUUUUCACGCUAAACUUUUUUUCAGAAACAAAAGGCAAAAUUCCCGUCUUCAAUUUAUUUUCGACCGUGAGUAUUUUCGACUGGGACUAGGCUGGAAAACCUUCGCUCAAAUUUUGGAGGGACAGAAGUGAAUGGCUUAUAAGCGGUUAAAAAUAGUCCACAAUUUUGACGGAUUUUUUCAACAGGUCUCUAAUUUGACUAAGUCUCGUCGUCACUUUUAACUUCGAACUAUUACCGUCGAAAAUAUAUGCGAUCAAAAUUAGCCGCUUUUCUUAUAUCACAUAAUAACGUGUUGAAGGGUAAUUGAAAUUUGAUAUGGUGAAACACAAACCGGAAUCACUAUUAUUGUUGUUAAAAAUCUUUGAUUUUCGGCUCUCCAUUGUAUCUUCUUUGUCUCUUCAGCUUACUCAUUUUUCGAGUUUGGUCACAUAUUCUGCUGCAUGCAAUGUUGUAUACAAUUCAGAAACUUGCGUUAAUAAUCAAAACAUUUGUCAGACUAGAUCCCAUCAAUAUUGAUCUCUUGUUUUAUCAUCAGAAUAUUUUGAUAUGGUUGUAUUUUGGGGUUGUAUACUUGUAUUCCCUCUACCGAACAGAUUGAUUCUGAAUUUUGUUUUGUUGAACUUUUGAAACAAAACUUUUGAACCGAAGUACUAAACAAUUUGACAGUUCAAGAAAGUUGAAUAUCAAAUUUUAUGAUUCACCUAGCGUUUUUGCUUGUGUUUUUUUUAAUAAUAAUCGUAUGAUUUUUUUGAAGUCAAGUUGUGUGUCAUGUGUUUUAAAGCAAGACUAAUAAAGUCCCAAGAUCCAAAAUCAUUAUAAUCAUGUUCCCGUUCAUUCUUUUUUUUUUCCUGACAGGUGAUUAUAAUCUGUAAGAUUAUAAAAAGAUUAUAUUUUAGAAAUAAUCAAUUUAUUUUACUUAAUUCAAUAAAAGAAAGAUUUUGGUAAGAGAGCAUUGAGGGAGUAAUUCAAAUGCAGAGUUGAAAGUGGAAUUUAUCAUUCAAAUUUAUUAUAAUUUCAAUUUUAAUGAAAAAUUAACGAAAAUUAAAGUACUCUGUGAUGUGCUACACUCGCUGAUUUGCUGGAUUCCACCGCAUACCCUGCGUGUCUGGGAUGCAUCAUGCAUAUUGCGUUAUUGUUAAGUUUGUCUUUUGUUUAUUAAAUAAUAAAAUUAAACAUAACUCUAUGAUAACAUUUUCUUUCAUAUGGGGUCAUCAGGGAGUUUUUUAAGAUACGCAUGAAGAAAAAACACAAAAAUACAAACGACCUAAUUAUUCUUAUUAAACCUACCUAGGACACAUGUGGGGUACUAAAUAUAGAGAUAUAGACACAUAUCAUAUCACCAUUAUACUGCAUACUACCACUAUAUUUUAAUAAUAUUAAAAAGAAUAACAUAGUGUUAAUAAUCAAAUCCGAACCUAAUGUUAGUGACAAAAAAAAUCAGAACCUAACAUUAGUGAAAAAAAAAAUUAAUAGUUCAGUGGUAGGUUUCUAAAUAAAUAAUAAGUUUGAUGGUAAAAAAAUUUAUUUUUCCCUAAAAAUUAAUGUAUAUUUUUCAUUUCGAUUCUACUUUUUAAUUUUAUACUAAUUUUUUAAUAGUCACUAAAAAUCUUAAUGACUCAUGAAAUCAUGAUCAAUUUAUUAAAUUUUCAUGUGUACAUUCUGUAAAGAAGUUGGCCCUGCUUAUUUUCUUCUUCCCAUAUGAUUGCAUGUGUUUUUAUAACAAUCCUUAGUUGAGGUAGUUAACUUAAAUUGACAUGUUACAUUUUAUAAAGAAUUUGGUUUCAAAAAAAGAAUUCUAUAAUAGUCGCAAGUUGAGGCAAUUAACUUACAUUGACCUGUUACAUUUUUUAAAGAAUUUGGUAUUAGAAAAUUGAUGCAACCUUUUCAACUCAUAAGCUAAAAUUAUGCACAAUAAUGUAUGUGCAUACAUGUAAUGAAACAUAAAUUUAUAUGGACACAAGCAUGCACACGUAAUCGAGUUUUUAAAAGUAGUUUAAAUUGUUGAUGAGGGCACUGCAUUCGUUAUGUGAAGAGGAACAAAAAGAGAAAUUAGGCUUCAGACUCUUUGACUUGCCGGGAAACAACUAAUAUCUCAAUUACUCUGCCUGUUCUUGAAAAUAACUAUCGACGAACUUAACCAAUAUGUGUAACGAAAAUAAACAACUCAAGCACGCUCCCCACGGAUCCUCCUGGCCAGCUGAAUGUCUUUAGACAUGUUUGUCACACACUUAGAAUGAAUAGCGCACAAGUUAGGCUGUGUUCACUUGGAUGGAAUGGAAUGUGGAGAGAAUGGAAUGAAAUUUGCAUUAUAAAUUGGGAGUGAUUAGUGAAAUUGUUUAUUAUUUUUAUUCUUUCAAUCAUUCCAUUUUAACUAUUUCAACUAAAAAUCUAACCCACAUGUUUUGAAAGGAAUGUUGAUUCUAUUUCAUCAUUUUUUCUUAGCAUCUUCUUCAUGAAAUUUUUUAACUCACUCAUAUUUAAUCAUUAUUACUUUAUACUUUCUCCGAUCUUCAUAAAACUUGUCCAUGUAGUUUCAUUCCAUUCUGCCCUCAUUCUAUUCCAUGAGAUGAACACAACCUUAAUAUCUUCCAACAGGUUUAUUAGGUAUACCUCAGCUGCCUCCCGGAGAGUUAGGACCGCAUGGCUCUGAAAAUGCAAAUCAGUCUGCAACAACAAAUUAAAAUUGCAUGUUGCAAUAAAAUUCAAUACGAUAAGUGAAGAUACAAUAUUUAGGGUUGUUUGUUCCAAAGAAGCAGAAGCUGCUUCUGACUUCGGCUUCUUUUGCCCGUUUGCCUAAAUAAGUAUAAACACUUUUAAGAAGCUGAGAAUGCUAGCUUCUGAGUUCUCUCAGAGAGUAUCUGCUUCUUUUUCAAACACUUCAUUAACUUAUUUACUUCUCUCUUCUUAUCCACUUCUUUACUUUAAAUAAAAAAUCACCUUUUUUUAAACUGACCUAAACCCCCCCUUAGUUCUUCAUUAUCUUCUUCUUCCGAGCAUGUGCGGCCCAGCUGAUCAUCUUCUUUGAAAUAUGGGCAUCACUUACCCCUGGAUCAGACAUGGUAUAAAGCACAGCCAAUAUCAAGGGCUUGUUGGCAAGGGUAUGUUUUUGUCAGAAUAUAUGUAAGGUAUUUAAUUCUGAAAUAUAUGUAAAAAUAUUACUAGGCAUUUGCAGAAAUUAUUGGCAUUAUUUUUCACGAUCUUAUAAUAUUACAUAGCUAGCAUUCUUCAGAGCAUGUGCCACACCCAGCGGAGAGCAUGACCGGUUCGUCUCGAUUUCCGAAUAAUCGUAACCGCAAUUAUAUAUUAUUUUUAAAAUUGAUAACCAUAACUGCCGGUUCGUAUUUUGGUUUUGGUUUAAAAAACCUGACACGGUUAUAACUGCUUGUGUUAAACUUGAACAGUAUAUUGUAAUCCCAGAUAAAUUUACAUUGGCCCGGUUUAUAAAAUAUACUAAUACAUUUACUUAUUUGAAAUUGUUUAGAUUUAAUAAAGUUUUACUGACAUUCAAUGAGCAGGGCAAGCAGCAUGAAGCACCUGCGAAAUUAUCCACCUUAUUAUUUGCAAUUGCUUUUCAAGGACCUCUCUGUAAUCGUCUUAUCAAGCAGGUAUAUGAGUGUAUCUAAUUAUGUAUACGUAAACAUUUGACUAAUUAGAAAAUAUUUCAAAUGCAAAGACUUCUAUAAUUAAAUAAGCGCAUUCCUAUUUUCAGCAGAAUAAUAUGAUCUCUGGCCGUUCAUUUCAAAGUGACGAUUAUCAAAGGUUCCUGUUUAAAGCAGUUGAACGAACUUUGUAGCUUGUUGGGUGAUGCGGAGAAGGUGUUCGAUAAAUUGCCUGUAUGAAGAUUUUUCCAAUUGGUGAGUUUACGUGACAAUAUUUGGUUUUCUUGGAUCGCUACUAAGAACUUUUUAUGCUUGUAACCAUUGGGUCUUUUAAAGUGCUUGGCAUGUCUUAACUUUAUUGUGUUUUUGGAGAUUUUGAUCUCGUGCUAGUUAAGACUAGUUUUAUAUGGAAAUCGAUCUUGGAACCUAGAAAUUGAACCGAGUUUGGGCUACCUUAAAAUUAAGUGAUUGAUUUAGGAAUUUGGGUCUGGGGCUUAGUUAUGGAACCUAAUAUAUUGAGAUCAUCGAGAUCAUUACAAAGAUUAGCUAAAUUAAUUAAUCAAAUACACGCCGCUUAUGAAACCACUGCAGGAUAAAAAAAUCUAUACUUGUGAAUUGUGAUGCAUUUAUUUGACUAUGUAUAUCAGAUAUUUUGGUCCGUGUGCUGAUUUUAGAAAAACAGAUAUUUAAAAAUGAAGGGAGUAUUAUCCAACACUUUCAACUUUUAAUUAAACCAGGUCGAUAUGAUAUAUUUAAAACUGUAAAUAUGAGAUAAUCAUGAAAUGUUUCGUCUUUAUAGAAAUAAGAACAAACAAACAAUGCUAGAAUUACUGAUACCGAACGAUUCUUAGCCGGGACUGAUAUCUUAUUUAUCCUGUUUAUUCUCUGACAUAAAUAUCUACCAACUUAAACAAUAGGCAGAACGAAAAUAAAUAAACUUUUAAUAUAAUGUUGAAGAUAAGUAAAGAUACAAGGUACAAUCGAUUCUCAGGCACCCGAUAAAUAUUAGGUUAUUUUCUGGCUGUUAAAUAUCUAACGGUCAUGAUUAUACUAACAUUUUUUAAUAUGUCAUGUUCAAUGGCUAAAAAACACUGAUUAUAUUAAAAUUUUAUUAUAAUCCUGGGUGCGAAUAUUUAUCUUACGGUCAAAAAUCAUGUUUUUUUGACAGGUUCGUGGCAGUCUAACUGCCAGGAAAAAACUUGAAAUUUUUGCGCAGGUAUAUGAGUGUAUCUGAUUAUGUAUAUGUAAAACAUUUGACGUAAUCAGAAGAUAAAUGAAAUGCAAAGGCUUCUAUAAUCAAAUAAUCGCAUUCCUAUUUUCAGCAGAAUAUGGUAACUGGCCAUUCAUUUGAAAGUGACGAUUACCAAAUGUUCUUGUUUAAACCAGUUCCAAGAAAUUUGCAGCUUGCUGGGUUGUGUUUGUUUUAUAGCUACUGCAAGUUGAGCUGAGUUAAAUAAUAGAUAGUGUACGAGGUUAUUGAAAUUCACAGUAUUAAUCUUGACCCAGUCCUAUCUAUUCUUAAUAAAGAAUGGAGGUUUGUUUGGUGGCUAUCAAUAUUCAAACCCCAGCUAAUUUUAAUAAAUAUAUAUAACUCAGACAGCUCGAAUAUCUCCCUGGGAACGGUGUAGAACUGUAGAUCUACCCAGCCCGUCCCAUAAAACUAUAAAGAUUGUACUAUUCAAUGUUAUUUGGGGCUGUUCGACUUGGUUUAAAAGAAGUUACUUGUCACUUACAAUUAAGAAGUAAAAUGUUAAUUAUAAGUGAAAGAUAAAUUUUAAUUUAUUUGUUUGGAUAAUUUUUUAUGAUAAUUUAUAACCAAUAGGUAUUAAAAAUUAGUAUUCUAAUAAUAAAACUAGCUUUAAAGGUUGUAGACUAAUGUGUGUGUGAAUUAAAGGUCAUGCAGAUUGCUGUGUAGUUUUCUUCUCUCAAAGAACUUAUGAAUCACAAAUUUGUCAUUGUAGGAUGAUUGAAUCUUAAUUUUGAAGAUCUACUUCAAAUGAUCUCCACUGCAUCAGGCAUUUGUAUAUGAUGCAAUAUAAAACCAAGGUGCUGUGCAAUACAAUGCAGUAUUUCAAAUGUGAACUCAACAAUAUAUCUUCUUAGUGGUUAACAAUACUACAUGUAAAGAUAAUGAUAGUGAAAUCAAGAUUCAGAUGAUAUGGAUAUAAUAUCAUUUUAGACAUAAGAAAGUUUGAUAAUCACAACACUGCAUCAAAUUUUAAAUUGUCAGAGUAUUGAAAUCAAUCAUGCAGUUCUACAAUUCAUUUUAUGCUAUUGAGUAUUGUGUUCCCAACGGAUGACAGUAUAAAAUUUCAGAGCCGGAAAGAAUUUAUCCCUCCUCUGUUAAUAGACCAAAAUUAAGCAAGAUACAAGAAAGCACAUCCAUAAAAGGGUUUGUUUAUCAUCAAAGAGUUUAUUUUUUCCGGUGUGUGUUCAUGGGCACAUGCUAAGCACUAAAUUUUAUGUAGGACCUGGGUCAACAGAGCAUAAACCCUUAACCACUGGGCUAUCCAAUCGUGCUCAUGUAUUUAACUAAUUUUGAUUGGCUCCUACUUUGUAAUAAUGGUUGACCGUUGACCCUUCUGCAUAUACAAAAACUUCACCAAUCAAUUUGAGCUAAAUGCAAAGAUUUUAGUGCUUAGUAUGUGCCCAUGAGCACAAACUAGACAAAAGCGAAAAAUAUAACAAUUCGAGAGGGGAUACAAUAAAUAUUAAAAAUAUCACAUAGUCAUAUAAUCAAAAUACAGUUACAUUAAAUCAACUAGCAGUUCGAGUAACAUUAUUGCUUUCUUAUAUUAAAUCACAUUAAUCUACUAACUGCAAUUAUUUAUAGUUUAUACACUGGUCUAAUAGAAAUCAGGGUCUCUGGCUCAAUUUCAAAUCUAAAAAAAUUGUCCAAACAUUGUAUUUAGGCUUCAGAAAGCGCAGGCAUCCGAUUUCUGCAAAGCUUAGUUGGUUUAGUAUUAUGCUGCCACUGUUCAUAACUUCCAUGACUCUUUUUUGCCCUAACAAACUCUCGUGAGAAGGUGGAUGCUCAUGGUAAAGUUUUCAAGUGUAAGGUAUUUUUCUGUCAGAAUAUAUUUCAGAUAUUUUAAAUAAGCUAGUAUCAGUAAAGUCAUCUAAGGAUCGCAGAAAAUAAAACGCAGCUGAAUCCGCAAGGCGGAAAGUUUCACAUUUACAUCAAUAUUAUUGCAUAAGACUAACUGAUUAUAAUCAGCUAUUUAAAAUUAAUCUGAAGAUGGUUCGUUUCAAGCCUCCCAUAAUUCAUAAUAUCACCCAAAAAAAAACUCAAAGUAUUAUGAACUCUUUAGGCCUGACGGAGGCAUGGUGGGUGAAAGGAGCCCAAAUCACAAUUUUUAUGUCAUUUGUAAGUUUAUGCAGCGUGCAUAAAGAUAUAUAAAGAUUAGACGUAAAUUAGUAAUUUGUCUCGUGUUAUGAACAGUGCCGACAUUUCAAACGAGAAACGUUUUUAGAGACGGAGGGAGUAUAACUUAAGUUUGUAUUAAAAUAUUGAUUUGAGCUUGGACGUCCAAUUAGUGUGAACGAAACAUGGAGAUGCACAAUGAGACAAAUAAGUUUCUUAAGGUCACAUGAGAAGAAUAAGUUUUUUAAUAGUCAUUAGAAAUCAUGAUUCACUAAAUUGUCUUGUGUACUUUUUAUAAAGACUUUGGCCUUGAAAACUGAUGCAACUUUUUCUACUUAUUUUCUUCUUCCCAUGUGGUUGUGUUUGUUUUACAGCAACUGCAAGUUGAGCUGAGUUAAGAAAAAAUUUACUAAAAUAUAAUUCAGGCAGCUCCCAAUUCCCAUGUCUCCCUGGAACUGUGUAGAUCUACCGAGCCCGCCCCAUAAAGCGAUAAAGAAUGUACUUUUUGAGUUUAUUUUGGGCGGUUCGACUUGGUUUAAAAGAAGUUAGUUACUACUUAUAGGUAAGAAGUCACUUAUACUUGAAAAAUAAAUUUCUAUUUUUCUGUGUGGAUAAUUUUUUGAUAAUUCUUUACUAAUAGGUAUAGAGAUUAGUAUUAUAAUAAUAAAACUAGCGUAGAAGCAUGUGCAAGGCACGGCUACUGUUGUGUAGACUAAUAUGUGUUUGAAUAAAAGGUUGCAGGCUGCAACAGGCCUUGCCUUCAGAAAAUCCAAGGUGCUGUGCAACGCAACUCAGAAGCAAAUCCUGAUGCUCUUGCCUUUAGAAACAAUGAAGAGGGUUGUAGAACAAAACCAGAAAUUUCAAGUUUGUGCCCUUUCAUGGGUUGUUGAAGCUGAAAUGUCACUCCAUUGAAGUGACCGAGUACUCAUGCUUAUUAUUGAGCCCUGUAAGCUAGAGUCCUCUAGUGGCAAGCAAAACCAGGAUAUGUGUCUAUCACAAUCCUCUAAUGGUUGGCAAGCAGAACCAGGACUUUAGAGAAGUUGAAACAGUCUUCUAAUGACAAACAUAACAGUCUCUUCCAAUCUAUUUCUUCAAAUUCUUCUCCAUCUCUUAUCUUUCCUUCUCGCUUCUUCUUCUACCUUUACAACAGAUCAUCUUCCUUUUUACUAGCGUCUAAUCAUCAAUCCAUUAUCUUCAAGCUAAGAGUUCACAAAGUUCCCACUCUUUAGCUUGAGGGGGAGUGUUAAGGGAUAAGAUAAAAGGCUUUUAUGGUCUUUCUAUCCAGAACAUUUGUUUUUACUAGAAUUUAGUAUUGUUUGUAACCUUCUAUAUAUACUGGAGAUGUAAUAACUAUACGAAGACAAGUAAAAAGAAAUGUAGUCAAUUAAUUUCUCUUCUUUCUUGUUCGUGUGUUGCUCUGUAAGUUUGCAACUAUGGUUCUCACCAUCACUGACUUAUAAAAUCAUCAGAAGAUUCUGUUGUUCCUUGAAGAGAACUAACCCAAGCUGCAACAAAAAUAAUAGCUUACAAUUCUAUAGAUUCACCUUAUAGAGUUAUACAAUGGUCAUUUAUUACAAAAUCAUUUCAAUUCAUCUAACCCUUAGACCUUGUAACGAAGCUAAACAAUCUGUUAAACCUAAGAUCAAAUCUUAAAGAAAAUCUUCUAUAGUGGACAAACAUCUGCUAUACAUUCCAAGAUUAUUAAUAAAUAUAUCUUGAAUCAUCUUAAGUAACAAGCUUCGAAGGCCUACAACACUCUUCAUAAAGUCACAAACCAUGUUUCCUUUGGCCUUUUAACAUGGCAGUUAAAAAGAAUUUGUCAGGUUCAGAAUAUAUUAUAUUAAUCCUGUUAGGCAGUCUACUUCUUUAAGGAUUUAAGUUCAAAUCUUAACAUUUAUGCGGUCAAUCUUAUGCAGAAGCAAACCUACAUAGCAUUUAAGACAUCUGCAAAAAUAAUAAUAGGCAUCUGCAGAAUUUACUGGCAUUAGAUUCAGCGAUCUUGCAAUAUUACAUAACUAGCACAAAAGAACUUUUGUGGCAUUUUCAUUUCGUUCCUUUAAUAGUGGCUGUUUGAUGUGGAGGAAAGAUCACAUACAAUGUUAAAGCCAGUUUCAGUAAAGUGAUCUAAGGAUCGCAGCAAGAUUAUAACGCGACUGAAUCCGCAAGGCUGAAAGUUCCAGGUUCACAUCAAUAUUUUUGCAGAGAAAAUACAAACAAUUAAUUAACAUUAGGAAUUAAUUAUUUAUUAAAAAUAAUGGAAAUAUCGUAUAUAUACAAUCAAACAUUCACAAUAGAAAAAAAAAGUUAUCAUUUUGAAUAAUAAAUUUAAAUAAAAUACUGAAACGUCUAAAGUUUCAAUACUAAAAUUAUGUGAUUGUUUAAGGUAAUUGCUCCAUAAAGAAGCUGAGAAUGUUAGCUUCUCUCUCACAGCUUCUGCUUCUUUUCCAAACACUUUAUUAACUUAUUUACUUCUCACUUCUACUCCACUUCUUUACUAUAAGCAAGAAGUCACUUCUUUUAAGCUAACUUAAACGGCCCCAAUGUAACUAAAGAAAAUAAUGGAAUCUUGAUUAACCAAGUAUCUGUCCAAAUAGUCUAAAGUGGAGAAACAAAUUCAUUUUAGAAUGAGACUUUAAUCAUCAACAAAUAGAAUUAAAAUUCUUCAAAUUAAACAAAAACAAAAUACAUUCAAAUUGAACAUAAACAAAUUACAAAUUUUAUGAUAUUGUAAUGUGAUGCACGAGUGCCGAGAAUCUUCCAGGGCGUUUCUAAGACUUCUAGUUGGUUUGGAUCAAGAUACGUUCUAGUUGGACUGGAAUGCUCCUCAGCUCUCCACACCGAAUUGUUCUAAAACUUUCGAGGCAAGGGAGUGCUCUGUCCUCGACUUGCAAUUCUUUUAGAUCGGUGAAAUAUCGUAGUCUUAAACUUUGAAGACUUGGAAACGCAUUUUUACUGCAAACCAUUUUGUUCCCCUCAUACACUACAUACAAAUCAAGAGUCGUAAGAUUCCGUAAAUUUCCCAAGCUGGGCAUUGGAUCUUCAGUGAACCUACUAUGAGACAGAUUUAAAUCCUCGACUGAAUUUGGCAGAAAACGGAAUUCUGAUAGUUCUAUAACACCCCUUAAAGUUAUGCUCUUGAGACGAUUCAAAACCGAAAACGGUUUCAAUGUUGAAAUAACGACAUCAUGACCACACUCAAAUAUGAACGUUUGGAGAUUUGUUAAAUUAGCAAUGGAUUCAAAAGUGCGACCUCCUCCUCCCUCUCUAUCUCUUAUAUAUAAUGUACAGAGGUUAGUGAAAUUGACGGUAUCAAUCUUGACCCAUUCCCUGAAAUCUAUACCAGAAAAAGAAUGGAGCUUUGUUUGAUGGCUACCUAUAUUCAACCUCUCGCUAAUUUCAAUGAAUAAAUCGUACAAAUGCCUCAGCUCAGGCAGCUCCCACAUCUCUUUGGGAACUGUGUAGUAACAAUCAUGGUGCCCACCCCAUAAAGAUCGUAACUUUUUCAGCUUGCCUAUACUUGCUGGCACUGCUAUUGUUCUCCUGACGGUACCCAUUAAGCCUAAAAACUUUAAAAGAACCAGUUCCCCUAAUUCUUCUGGUACACUCUUUGAUGCUACACACGACAUAUCUAGCACUGUGAGAUUUUUAAAUCCAGUGUACAUCAACUUUAUUUCUUUUAAUUCCACUUUAAAUCUAUAACCUGCCAACAUUAGGGAAUGCAAAUAUAAAGCAUCAAAUCUACGCUGCUCAAGUAAUUUAAGGUACUCACCAAUUUCAUCGUAAAUAGCAUGACGCCGUUGUCCUUCCAAUAAAUGGAUGAGAUUUGGCUGGUGUUUACUUGAAUCAAAAAUAACCAACAAAUUCUGCUCCUUUGCUUUUUUUAUGGCAAGUUCACGCACAAGAUCAUGGACCCGGCAUGUGACAAUUUUCCCAUUCAAUUGCCAAUACUCAAUCUGAAUCAAGUUGCGAUUAAUUAGCUCGUUCAGACAAUCCUCGGCCAAAUCCUCCAUGAGUACUCCAUCUCCUUCUUCAUCUUCUGAUAUGAAUUCCUCUGCAAUCCAUAAGUGCUUCAAAGGUUCGACGAAAAUGAUUUUAUCUUCUGGAUAUCUUGCAAGGUAGAGAAAACAAUCUCUCAAUUGGGGAGACAAGUCUUUAUAACUCAAGCUUAGUAUUUCUACAAUAUCCACAGAGUCAUCUGUCAAGUUUCUCCAGAUAAGCUCCUUCACCUUUGACCAAUAGUCGUAGCUCUUGUUGUGG